UCAACCAGCCAUGUCACCCUGCAGCCCAAGAUCGGUUACUCACUGAAGCUAAGCAGGGCUGAGCCUGGUCAGUAUCUGGAUGGGAGACCACUAGGGAACACUAGGUCGCUGCUGGAA
rnacentral:rRNA from 1 species